CAAAAAAAUUCUUUUUUAAGUUUAAAAAUUAAAGUUAUUUUUAUUUGUGAAGAAACAAUAAUAAAAAUUAAAGACAAGAAGACCCUAUGAAUUUUUAUAAACUUUAAUAUUUAAUUAAAUAUUAAAGUUUAUUUAAUUGGGGCGAUUGAGAAAGAUAAAAAACUUUUUUUUUAUUUAAAGAGAUCCAUUAUUAAUGAUUUUAUGUAAAAAAUACUCUAGGGAUAACAGCGUAAUAAUUUUAGAUAGAUCUUAUAGAAAAAAUAGUUUGCGACCUCGAUGUUGGAUUAGGAUAC
rnacentral:rRNA from 1 species